UACGUAGGGUGCAAGCGUUGUCCGGAAUUAUUGGGCGUAAAGAGCUCGUAGGCGGUUCGUCGCGUCGGCUGUGAAAUCCCGAGGCUCAACCUCGGGUCUGCAGUCGAUACGGGCGGACUGGAGUUCGGCAGGGGAGACUGGAAUUCCUGGUGUAGCGGUGAAAUGCGCAGAUAUCAGGAGGAACCCCGGUGGCGAAGGCGGGUCUCUGGGCCGAUACUGACGCUGAGGAGCGAAAGCGUGGGGAGCGAACAGG
rnacentral:rRNA from 1 species